AGGUUAAGAUUCAUGGGUCAACUC
rnacentral:siRNA from 1 species